UUAGUUGCCAGCAAGUAGCGUUGGGCACUCUAGCCAGACUGCCGGUGAUAAAUCGGAGGAAGGUGGGGACGACGUCAAAUCAUCACUGCCCUUUAUGUCCUGGGCUACACACGUACUACAAUGGCCGUUACAACGGGAAGCGAAGGAGCAAUCCGGAGCAAAUCCCUUAAAAGGCGGUCCCAGUUCAGAUUGUGGGCUGAAACUCGCCCACAUGAAGGCGGAAUUGCUAGUAAUUGCAGAUCAGCAUGCUGCAGUGAAUACGUUCCCGGGCCUU
rnacentral:rRNA from 1 species